rnacentral:sRNA from 1 species
UGCCACCACACUACAAGACAAGCUUCACGUGUGCUUUCCCUCCUUUGAUUGGAAAGCACAGCGUAGGGAACCACUGCCCCUUCGAAGCUGUCACACACCAGAAUCCUCACCACCGACGGGCUUAUUGACGUCAUAAAGCGACGACGCUACUAUUAGAAGCCUUGCCGCCGCCGCCAGAGGGAGAGCUAUGAAACAUGCUGGAGGAUCUACAACAUGGAAAUGGCUCGAAAGAUUAACUUCUUGGUGCGAAAGAACCGUGCAGACCCAUGGCUGGGCUGCUAAGGCUUGAGCCCACAUUGUUUCUACGUCCAACUCCUUUUUUUAUGCAACCCAUUUCUGUUACUUUUCUCCACAAUAAACUCAAUCACAGGUGAACAAGAAAAAAA